rnacentral:rRNA from 1 species
AGCUCCAAUAGCGUAUAUUGAAUUUGUUGCGGUUAAAAAGCUCGUUGUUGGAUUUCUGCUGAGGACGACCGGUCCACCCUCUGGGUGAGCAUCUGGUUCGGCCUUGGCAUCUUCUUGGGGAACGUAGCUGCACUUGAUUGCGCGGCGCGGUACCCAGGACUUUUACUUUGAGGAAAUUAGAAUGUUUCAAGCAGGCACACGCCUUGAAUAUAUUAGCAUUGAACAGUAAGAUAGGAUCUCGGUUCUAUUUUGUUGGUUUCUAGAGCUGAGAUAAUGAUUAAUAAGGACAGUUGGGGGCAUUCGUAUUUAAUUGUCAGAGGUGAACUUCUUGGAUUUGUUAAUUGACGGACUACUGCGGAAGCAUUUGCCAAGGAUGCUUUCAUUGAUCAAGAACGAAAGU